AUUGAACGCUGGCGGCAGGCCUAACACGUGCAAGUCGAGCGGAUGAAGGGAGCUUGCUCCUGGAUUCAGCGGCGGACGGGUGAGUAAUGCCUAGGAAUCUGCCUGGUAGUGGGGGAUAACGUCCGGAAACGGGCGCUAAUACCGCAUACGUCCUGAGGGAGAAAGUGGGGGAUCUUCGGACCUCACGCUAUCAGAUGAGCCUAGGUCGGAUUAGCUAGUUGGUGGGGUAAAGGCCUACCAAGGCGACGAUCCGUAACUGGUCUGAGAGGAUGAUCAGUCACACUGGAACUGAGACACGGUCCAGACUCCUACGGGAGGCAGCAGUGGGGAAUAUUGGACAAUGGGCGAAAGCCUGAUCCAGCCAUGCCGCGUGUGUGAAGAAGGUCUUCGGAUUGUAAAGCACUUUAAGUUGGGAGGAAGGGCAGUAAGUUAAUACCUUGCUGUUUUGACGUUACCAACAGAAUAAGCACCGGCUAACUUCGCG
rnacentral:rRNA from 1 species